GUUUUUAUUCUAGGAAGCGACGUCGUUUGAUAUUCAAUUCCGCUUCGAUGCAUCUCCGAUAUUAUUAGCUUGAAAGGUUUUGGCCCUUAAAUUUAAUGGCCGAAAUCGGUGAAAAAGUAAUGAAGCCAUGGCGAAUGUCAUGGCGUGAUACCAAAGUAUGAAUUCUCUAGUAAAAUUUAGGUUACAAAAGCGAAUAUUCGUAUUGAAAAAUAGGGAAUCGUGUACAUUAACUGUGACACCACGGAUAAAAACGCGUUUAUCGGGAUGGCCUUAAAUUUGAAGUUGGCGCCCAUGUAGUGCGCAAGCAGGGUGCAAGCAGUGCCAAAGCAGGCGAAGCAGUGAACCGGUUAGAAACGGGUAACACGCACUCAAGCAGGACUUUAAUUUGUAAAGUCCCCUUUUUAUUGGUCACAAACUAUAAAAAACCACUGAAGCUUAAGUCAUUCCCAUCGCAUACGACACCAUGUGACUCCACUGCCAGCUACCUUAAUAUGCCCUCGAGCACCUCAAUAGCCUGUCAAUUGGUCAACUAGCGACACUUUCAGUGCCUAAUAAAUUAAUUACGCGCUUUAAUUGAUGCCUGCAGUCGCUGCUUUUGGCGUGCGAACAAGAUAGCCGGCCAGUCAGUCAGGAGGAUAAGUCACCUGGGCUUGGUCAGGUGUUGGUGCAACAACAGAGUCAUUAGCCGGCGCUGGGCGGAAUGGGGCUCCUCCUCCUCCAGCUCCUGCUCCGCUGGCAUCUUCCUCUUUCAGUCGCCGAACUAUGUGACAUUUUUCAAAUGUUCCCGCCGGCGGAACAAAGGAAGAGUACGGUUACAACUGGCUUUGUGCGUUCCCUGGACUAGACUCCCCGUAUCCUCCUCCUCAAGGAACGUGCUGCAAUGCCGACGCGUCAGCGUUGGAGUCAAUUGCAACGCCAAUCGAAGUUGCAACUACACUCGUAACAAAUUAAUCCGGAAAUUUGCUUUAAUAUACAUCUUGGAGUUAAGGUCGGAGCUAAGGUGAUAUUCAAAACUAUUUAAAAAUAAAAAGGAACAUGAAUUGAGCACUUGUGACAUUAAUAGUAUUAUAUUAAAUAUUCAUUCACUGCAA